rnacentral:rRNA from 1 species
GUACACGCUGUGACUAGCAUAUCAAUAAGCGGAGGAAAAGAAACUAACAAGGAUUCCCUCAGUAACGGCGAGUGAAGCGGGAAGAGCUCAAAUUUGAAAUCUUGAAAGGUCACCUUUCACGAAUUGUAGUUUAAAGAAGUGUUUUCUGUUACGAUCGUAAUAUAAGUUCUUUGGAAUAGGACAUCACAGAGGGUGAGAAUCCCGUCUAUGAUUGCGAUUUGUAGCUUUGUGAUACACUUUCAAGGAGUCGGGUUGUUUGGGAAUGCAGCCCAAAACGGGAGGUAAAUUUCUUCUAAGGCUAAAUAUUGGCGAGAGACCGAUAGCGAACAAGUACCGUGAGGGAAAGAUGAAAAGAACUUUGAAAAGAGAGUUAAACAGUACGUGAAAUUGUCAAAAGGGAAGCGUUUAACACCAGUGUUGUUUUCUGAAAAUCAACCUCUGUUAGCUUUAUGCAUGUUUGUUUAGACCUAAUCAGCUAUCUUGCAUGUUCUAUUGUUUGCAGUGGUGCACUUUUCAGUUACAGGUCAACAUCAGUUUCUUUUGUUGUAAAAGGGUCAUUGGAAGGUGGCUUUCUUUUCGGAGAAAGUGUUUAUAGCCUUUGGCCUCUGCAAUCGAAGAGACUGAGGUCUGCAGCGUAGACUCUUCGGGGUUAGAUACAUUUGUGCUAAGUUAUAGCUUUUUAUAGACAACUUGUUGACUAUAAUUAGUCUUGUAGCUUACUCGCUUAUGCUAUUUUACCUACGCUUAGGAUGUUGACGCAUGAGAUAUACGC